UACGGGGGGGGCAAGCGUUGUUCGGAAUUACUGGGCGUAAAGGGCUCGUAGGCGGCCAACUAAGUCAUACGUGAAAUCCCUCGGCUUAACCGGGGAACUGCGUCUGAUACUGGAUGGCUUGAGUUCGGGAGAGGGAUGCGGAAUUCCAGGUGUAGCGGUGAAAUGCGUAGAUAUCUGGAGGAACACCGGUGGCGAAGGCGGCAUCCUGGACCGAUACUGACGCUGAGGAGCGAAAGCCAGGGGAGCAAACGGGGA
rnacentral:rRNA from 1 species